AACGAACGCUGGCGGCAGGCCUAACACAUGCAAGUCGAACGCUCCGCAAGGGGAGUGGCGCACGGGUGAGUAACACGUGGGAACCUACCUUCUGGUACGGAACAACCAAGGGAAACUCUGGCUGAUACCGUAUACGACCUCCGGGUGAAAGAUUGAUCGCCGGAAGAGGGGCCCGCGUCCGAUUAGGUAGUUGGUGAGGUAACGGCUCACCAAGCCUGCGAUCGGUAGCUGGUCUGAGAGGANGACCAGCCACACUGGGACUGAGACACGGCCCAGACUCCUACGGGAGGCAGCAGUGGGGAAUCUUGCGCAAUGGGCGAAAGCCUGACGCAGCGACGCCGCGUGAGGGAUGACGGCCUC
rnacentral:rRNA from 1 species